rnacentral:rRNA from 1 species
UUAAAUUAAAGGGCCGCGGUAUUUUGACCGUGCAAAGGUAGCAUAAUCAUUUGUCUUUUAAUUGAAGGCUUGUAUGAAUGGUUGGACAAAGAAAAAACUGUCUUUGUAGUAUAAAUUGAAUUUGACUUUUAAGUGAAAAGGCUUAAAUGAGCCAAGGGGACGAUAAGACCCUAUAAAGCAUUUUGUUGGGGCGACAUAUAUAUAAUUUAUAACUGUAUAAGUUAAUUACUUGGGUUAUUGGAAUGGUCCUUAUUAAAGAUUAAAAGAUUAAGUUACUUUAGGGAUAACAGCGUAAUUUUUUUUAAGAGUUCUUAUCGAAAAAAAAGUUUGCGACCUCGAUGUUGAAUUAAAUUAUCUAUAUAAUGUAGUUGUUAUAUAAGAGGGUCUGUUCGACCUUUAAAUUUUU